GAUGAACGCUGGCGGCGUGCCUAAUACAUGCAAGUCGAGCGAACAGACGAGGAGCUUGCUCCUCUGACGUUAGCGGCGGACGGGUGAGUAACACGUGGAUGACCUACCUAUAAGACUGGGAUAACUUCGGGAAACCGGAGCUAAUACCGGAUAAUAUAUUGAACCGCAUGGUUCAAUAGUGAAAGACGGUUUUGCUGUCACUUAUAGAUGGAUCCGCGCCGCAUUAGCUAGUUGGUAAGGUAACGGCUUACCAAGGCAACGAUGCGUAGCCGACCUGAGAGGGUGAUCGGCCACACUGGAACUGAGACACGGUCCAGACUCCUACGGGAGGUAGCAGUAGGGAAUCUUCCGCAAUGGGCGAAAGCCUGACGGAGCAACGCCGCGUGAGUGAUGAAGGUCUUCGGAUCGUAAAACUCUGUUAUUAGGGAAGAACAAAUGUGUAAGUAACUAUGCACGUCUUGACGGUACCUAAUCAGAAAGCCACGGCUAACUACGUG
rnacentral:rRNA from 1 species